AUUGAGAGCGGAUCUUAAAUGCAGNUCAACGAAUGAUUCGGGAUUAGUGGCGGAUGGGUGAUGUAGGCGAGAUAAUCGGCCUUCAGGAUGGGGAUAACAGUUAGAAAUGACUGCCAAAACCCAAUGUGCCGAAAGGGGAAAUAUUUAUAGCCUGGAGAGGAGCUCGCGUCCGAUUAGCUAGUUGGGGUGGUAAAAGCGCACCAAGGCAACGAUCGGUAGCUGGUCUGAAAGGAUGAGCAGCCACACUGGUACUGAGACACUGCCCAAACUCCUACCGUAGGGAGCAGUGGGGAAUUUCCCGCAAUGGGCGAAAGCCUGACGGAGCAAUACACUCGUGAGGGAGGAAGGCUUUUGGGUUGUAAACCUCUUUUCUCAAGGAACAAGAUCUGACCGUACUUGAGGAAUCAACAUCGGCUAACUCCGAGCCACCAGCCGCGGUAAUAUGUAGGAUGCAAGCGUUUUCCGGAAUUAUUGGGCGUAAAGCGUCCUCAGGUGGAACAUCAAGUCUGCUGUUAAAGACCAGGGCUUAACUCUGGGCAGGCAGAAAAAACUGGUGAACUAUAGUACGGUACGGGUAGAGGGAAUUCCCAUUGUCUCUGUGAAAUGCUUAUAGAUUGGGAAGAACACCAGAGGCGAUUGCGCUCUACUGGAACUGUACUGACACUCCGGCACGAAGGCUAGGGUCGCGAAAGGGAUUAUAUACCCCUGACAUCCUAGCUGUAAACGAUGGAUACUAAGCGUUGCUUGUAUCUACCCGAGUAGUGCCGUACCUAACGCGUUAAGUAUCCCUCCUGGGGAGUACCUCCGCAAGUGUG
rnacentral:rRNA from 1 species